rnacentral:lncRNA from 1 species
AUUUACUUAUACUAAAGUUAUGGUGCAAAAACCAAAAAUAAUGCUUAUUUGGGCCCCUUUUUGGCCCCUAAUUCAUAAACUGUUGUGACCUCAACUCCAAAAAUCAAUCCCAACCUUCCUUUUGUGGUCAUAAACCUUGUGCUAAAAUUUCAUUGAUUUCUAUUUACUUAUACUAAAUUAUUGUGCGAAAACCAAGAAUAAUGCUUAUUUGGGCCCUUUUUUGGCCCUUAAUUCCUAAACUGUUGGAACCAAAACCCCCAAAAUCAAUCCCAACCUUCCUUUUGUGGUCAUAAACCUUGUGUCAAAAUUUCAUAGAUUUCUAUUCACUUAAACUAAAGUUAUAGUGCGAAAACCAAGAAAAUGCUUAUUUGGGCCCUUUUUGGCCCCUAAUUCCUAAAAUGUUGGGACCAAAACUUACAAAAUCAAUACCAACCUUCCUUUUGUGGUCAUAAACCUUGUGUUAAAAUUUCAUAGAUUUCCAUUCACUUUUACUAAAGUUAGAGUGCGAAAACUAAAAGUAUUCGGACGCCGGACGACGACGACGACGACGACGACGCCGACGCCAACGUGAUAGCAAUAUACGACGAAAAAUUUUUCAAAUUUUGCGGUCGUAUAAAAAUUAUUG